CGGUUGAUCCUGCCGGACCUUAUUGCUCUCGGGGUGAGAUUAAGCCAUGCUAGCGGAGCGCUCCCUUUCGGUUGGGCCGCCGCGAAUAGCUCAGUAACACGUGGUCAAUCUACCCUUGGGAUUGGGAUAACCCCGGGAAACUGGGGAUAAUCCCAAAUAGGCGGGGGGUCCUGGAAAGGUCCCUCGCUGAAAAGUUCUUGGGAACAUGCUUCCAAGAAUCGCCUAAGGACGAGACUGCGGCCGAUUAGGUUGUUGGUGAGGUAAAGGCUCACCAAGCCUAAGAUCGGUACGGGCCCUGAGAGGGGGAGCCCGGAGAUGGGGACUGAGACAAGGUCCCAGGCCCUAAGGGGCGCAGCAGGCGCGAAACCUCCGCAAUGCGCGAAAGCGUGACGGGGUUACCCCGAGUGCCGUCCGAUGAGGAUGGCUUUUCCUCAGUGUAAGGAGCUGGGGGAAUAAAGGGGGGGCAAGACUGGUGUCAGCCGCCGCGGUAAUACCAGCCCCCUGAGUGAUAGGGACGAUUAUUUAGCCUAAAGCGUCCGUAGCCGGCCUAGUAAGUCUUUCGUGAAAUCCAACGACUCAAUCGUUGGGCGUGCGGAAGAUACUGCUAGGCUUGAGGGCGGGAGAGGUUGACGGUAUUCCAGGGGUAGGGGUGAAAUCCAGUAAUCCCUGGAGGACCACCAGUGGCGAAGGCGGUCAACUAGAACGCGCCUGACGGUGAUGGACGAAAGCUGGGGGAGCGAACCGGAUUAGACACCCGGGUAGUCCCAGCUGUAAACGAUGCGGGCUAGGUGUUGGGGCAGCCACGAGCUGUCUCAGUGCCGCAGAGGAGUCGUUAAGCCCGCCGCUUGGGAAGUACGGCCGCAAGGCUGGAACUUAAAGGAAUUGGCGGGGGAGCAC
rnacentral:rRNA from 1 species